ensembl:lncRNA
CUACCUGAGACCUGCUGCUUCCUCCCUGACCUGCACCCUCUUGUUGCCCAAGACCGGCCUCGCUGCUCCUGCCCUUCGGCCUUGGACCGUCGGAACAUCGUGCAACGGGACUGCUGCCGGAUCCUGGUGAAUCUGAAUCUUUUGACUGGCCUUCUCACAACUAUGAAAGUGACACCACAAGAAGAAAAUGAAAACACUCAGCCCGCAAGGCUUCAGAAUACUUGCAUGAGGGGCAGGAGAAAUCAGAGAUAGCUGGGACUUAGGCUGACCAAUUUUCCAUAUUGAUGAAAACCUCCAGUUGAAUCUUGUACAAUAACUUCUCUGGCUUUUUGCCUUUUCCCAGUUUGCUAUACAUUGUACAAUAAAUAGUAAG